UGUCACUGGGAGAGAAAACAGGACACAGGAGCUGGGGCCGGAAGUCGUGCCGUAGGAAGCCCCGCCUACUGCCUAGCGCCGCCAACGGUGGUUUCCGCGACGGCGGCAAGUUUGAUUGUCAGGAAUAGGAAACUCCGUAGCGAGGCCGUUGGAGAAGCGGCCGUUGGUAAGGGCCGCCUUGCCUCUCCCUUCGGUCGAUCGAGCGUCGAUUUUGUCUGCCUGUGAAGAUCUCUCAGUAGAAGAGAUUAUAUAAUGAACGUGUUUGUUUCGCUGCUUCCGUGUAUUUUUUUUGAACCCUGGCUCCUUUGCUUUCUUCCACCGCCAACUGUAUUGGCGUGUUUCAGGUGCUGUAGGCCAAGAUAAUGGGGCUUUGCCCUCAAAACGGAGGUGCAUACAAGCGCGGAAUCACUUAAAGAUGUGUGUUUAGACUGGUGCUGCUGUUCCAUUUCUUCGAAAGUUAUUUGGAGUUAAGGGUCAGUAGUGACGUAAGUAUGAUAAAAUACAGGCUUAGAUGAGUUGUCAGGUUGGAGAUCUACUUUUGUACAAGACAUAAGAAAUGAGGUGGGCCCCGCUUAUAUGGCAGGUUCCGUUCCGGACUGCCGCCGAAAAGUGGAAACAGACGAAAAGCAGAACCCAUGAAAAUAAUGGCGCGCAUUGCGCAAGAAUGACGCACAAUGAAAAAAAACCACUGUAAAAGCGGAACAAGCGCCUUAAAGUGGGGACUUUCCGGAAGUGAAAGCCGCCGCAUUAGCGCAAUGCCGAAAGGCGAAACACCGUAAAGCAGGGCCCGCCUGUAUAAUACUUGGGAUCCAAAAACUGAACAAGGCUUUGGAUUUGUUUCUUGAACAACUAUCCACCAUGGCACAAGGUAAGCCACUUUUGAAAUGGAUGUCUCUGGCAACAGCACAUUCUAAAAUGUGGCUGAAAAUCCCGUUUCAAGCUAAGGGAGGAGAAAAUUAAAGCUAAUGGAGUAUCCCCAAGAUCAUGGAUGUGGCAGUUGGGUGUACCAACUGGCUUUUUGAAUUCAGAUCACUAUUUAGGAACUAAAGUCAAGUAACAAGAUAGAUGUUAAAAAUAAAACAUUUCUAGAUUCAUAA